UACUCCUACGGGAGGCAGCAGUAGGGAAUUUUCCACAAUGGGCGAAAGCCUGAUGGAGCAACGCCGCGUGCAGGAUGAAUGCCUUCGGGUUGUAAACUGCUUUUAUUAGUGACGAUUAUGACGGUAACUAAUGAAUAAGGACCUGCUAACUACGUGCCAGCAGCCGCGGUAAUA
rnacentral:rRNA from 1 species